rnacentral:rRNA from 1 species
AGUGAACGCUGGCGAUAGGCCUAACACAUGCAAGUCGAACGGCAGCACAGUAAGAGCUUGCUCUUACGGGUGGCGAGUGGAGGACGGGUGAUGAAAAUAUCGGAAUCUACUUUUUCGUGGGGGAUAACGUAGGGAAACUUACGCUAAAAUGGCUUACGACGAAAGGGUGAAAGCAGCGGACCUUGGGCUCUCGCGUGAGUUAAGGAGCCGAUGUCGGAUUAGCUAGUUGGCGGGGUAAAGGCCCACCAAGGCGACGAUCCGUAGCUGGUCUGAGAGGAUGAUCAGCCACACUGGAACUGAGACACGGUCCAGACUCCUAAGGGAGGCAGCAGUGGGGAAUAUUGGACAAUGGGCGCAAGCCUGAUCCAGCCGUACCGCGUGUGUGAAGAAGGGCUUCGGGUUGUAAAGCCCUUUUGUUGGGAAAGAAGGGCAGCAGGUUAAUACCCCGCUGUUCUGACGGUACCCAAAGAAUAAGCACCGGCUAACUUCGUG